rnacentral:tRNA from 1 species
UGGGGGAUAGCAUAAAAAGUGUGUUCCGUUUACACCGGAAAGGUGAUAAAUUAUCUUCCCCAUC